rnacentral:lncRNA from 1 species
AGACAGAUCAUUGUGAGAGAUAGAGAGACAUUAUUUGACAGAUCCUUGUGAGAGAUAGAGAGGGACAUUAUUAGACAGAUCAUUGUGAGAGAUAGAGAGACAUUAUUAGACAGAUCAUUGUGAGACACAGAGAGACAUUAUUAGACAGAUCAUUGUGAGAGAUAGAGAGACAUUAUUAGACAGACCAUCGUGAGAGAUAGAGAGACAUUAUUAGACAGACCAUCGUGAGAGAUAAAGAGAGACAUUAUUAGACAGAUCAUUGUGAGAGAUAGAGAGGGACAUUAUUAGACAGGUCAUUGUGAGAGAUAGAGAGGGACAUUAUUAGACAGAACACUGUGAGAGAUAGAGAGACAUUAUUAGACAGAUCAUUGUGAGAGAUAGAGAGACAUUAUUAGACAGACCAUCGUGAGAGAUAAAGAGAGACAUUAUUAGACAGAUCAUUGUGAGAGAUAGAGAGGGACAUUAUUAGACAGAUCAUUGUGAGAGAUAGAGAGGGACAUUAUUAGACAGAUCAUUGUGAGAGACAGAGAGACAUUAUUAGACAGAACAUUGUGAGAGAUAGAGACAUUAUUACACAGAUCAUUGUGAGAGAUAGAGAGACAUUAUUAGACAGAUCAUUGUGAGAGACAGAGAGACAUUAUUAGACAGAUCAUUGUGAGAGAUAGAGAGACAUUAUUAGACAGAUCAUUGUGAGAGAUAGAGAGAGACAUUAUUAGACAGAUCACUGUGAGACAUAGAGAGAGACAUU